UACGGAGGGUGCAAGCGUUAAUCGGAAUUACUGGGCGUAAAGCGCACGCAGGCGGUUUGUUAAGUCAGAUGUGAAAUCCCCGGGCUCAACCUGGGAACUGCAUCUGAUACUGGCAAGCUUGAGUCUCGUAGAGGGGGGUAGAAUUCCAGGUGUAGCGGCGAAAUGCGUAGAGAUCUGGAGGAAUACCGGUGGCGAAGGCGGCCCCCUGGACCAUGACUGACGCUCAGGUGCGAAAGCGUGGGGAGCAAACAGGAUUAGAUACCCUGGUAGUCCACGCCGUAAACGAUGUCGACUUGGAGGUUGUGUCCUUGAGGCGUGGCUUGCGGAGCUAACGCGUUAAGUCGACCGCCUGGGGAGUACGGCCGCAAGGUUAAAACUC
rnacentral:rRNA from 1 species